GGCAUUCUGCUCAAUAGAUCCAAGGCUCUUAACCUUGUGGUCGUGGGUUCGAGCCCCACGGUGGGCG
rnacentral:tRNA from 7 species